GAGGGUAUAGCUCAGUGGUAGAGUGCACGCUUAUGCAUGCACGAGGUCCUGGGUUCAAUCCCCAGUAUCUUAG
rnacentral:tRNA from 1 species